rnacentral:lncRNA from 1 species
AUGAGCAUGCUCGGGCUUCAGAAGAGGCCUGCCGCUAGUGUCCUCCGCUAUGGCAAGAAGAAGGUCUGGUUGGACCCCAAUGAGGCCAAUGAAAUCGCCAGUGCCAACUCCCGACAGCAGAUCCGGAAGCUGAUCAAAGAUGGGCUGAUUAUCUGUAAGCCUGUGACUGUCCAUUCCCAGGCUCAAUGCCGGAAAAACACCUUGGCCCACCGGAAGGGCAGGCACAUGGGCACGGGUAAGCGAAAGGGUACAGCCAAUGCCCCAAUGCCAGAGAAGGUCACGUGGUGA